UCUGAAUCUGCGAACGGCUCCGCAAACCAGUUGUAAACUAUAGCAAGCAAGCUCAGGGCUGGCCUUCACUGGCCGGCUCGGGGCGAUAUGGAUAACCCUGGUAAUUCUGAGGCUAAUACAUGAGUGUAAACCUUGGAGGACCGGCUUCGGCUGGGAAUCUGGGGGAUGUGCGAUUGCAGGCUUGGUAACACCGGGAAAGGGCGCACGUUCAGAUCACGCUAAAAAGGUCGGGCUCCUUCGGGGGCCUGCCCCAGUGACUCUUGCUGUGUGCUUCUGACCUAUCAACUAGACGGCAGCGUAAGGGACAUGCUAUGGU
rnacentral:rRNA from 1 species